rnacentral:rRNA from 1 species
GAUGAACGCUGGCGGCGUGCCUAAUACAUGCAAGUCGAGCGAACGGACGAGAAGCUUGCUUCUCUGAUGUUAGCGGCGGACGGGUGAGUAACACGUGGAUAACCUACCUAUAAGACUGGGAUAACUUCGGGAAACCGGAGCUAAUACCGGAUAAUAUUUUGAACCGCAUGGUUCAAUAGUGAAAGACGGUCUUGCUGUCACUUAUAGAUUUAUCCGCGCUGCAUUAGCUAGUUGGUAAGGUAACGGCUUACCAAGGCAACGAUGCAUAGCCGACCUGAGAGGGUGAUCGGCCACACUGGAACUGAGACACGGUCCAGACUCCUACGGGAGGCAGCAGUAGGGAAUCUUCCGCAAUGGGCGAAAGCCUGACGGAGCAACGCCGCGUGAGUGAUGAAGGUCUUCGGAUCGUAAAACUCUGUUAUUAGGGAAGAACAUAUGUGUAAGUAACUGUGCACAUCUUGACGGUACCUAAUCAGAAAGCCACGGCUAAGUACGUG